rnacentral:tRNA from 14 species
GGAGACGUGGGUGAGUGGCUGAAACCAGCGGUUUGCUAAACCGUCGUGCCCUUAAGGGGGCACCCCGGGUUCGAAUCCCGGCGUCUCCGCCA